GAAUUAUCCCGACCGUGAAAGAAGAUUUCUCCGUGCCGUGUCACGGUGUGGAGCUGUCGACGCGCAGAGCAGCUACGUGGGAUUGUGUGUGUGUGUGUGUGUGUGUGUGUCUGUGAGUCUCUGUGUGUGUGUCUGUGCGUGUGUCUUUGUGUGUGUCUGUGAGUGUCUGUGUGUGUGUCUUUGUGUGUGUCUGUGAGUGUCUGUCUGUGUGUGUCUGUGUGUGUGUCUUUGUGAGUGUCUGUGUGUGUGUCUGUGAAUGUCUUUGUGUGUGUCUGUUACUGUGUCUGUUUGCAUCAUGUCGGACCAGCCACAGUGGAGAUGAAGGUGAACAGGUGACCAGGAAGACCCCACAUUGCACCAAUGCCAUCAAGUCUUUUAAAACUGAAGGUAUCGACUAAGAGUAUAUGUUUUAUUUUGGCUUUGCUUCUCUCUCUCCCUCUCCCCCUCUCUCUCUCUCUCUCCCUCUCUUCCUCUCCGUCGAUCUGUCUCUCUCUCCCUCUCUCUCCAUCUCUCUCCCUCUCUCUCUCUCUCCCUCUCUCUCUCCCCCAGCUCAAAUCUGCAUACAACCACUCUACUUUUAUCAUCCUGAGCUGCGCCAAGUCCUUGUGCAAUGAACUCAUACUGCCUGCCUCAGACUCUCUCUCUCUCUCGCUCUCGCUCUCGCUCUCGCUGUCUCUCUCUCUCUCGCUCUCUCUCUCUCUGACUAGUCUUGUAUUGCUCUUCAAAACGUAUAUGGGCACGCUGUUUGUUGAAUCUUGACAGCAUAUUUCACUCUGCCUCUCUGUCUAUUUUUCUCCAUUCCUUCUGAGGACAAAUUGCUAGCAGAAUACCAAUAGAGUAUCAC
ensembl:lncRNA